rnacentral:rRNA from 1 species
GACGAACGCUGGCGGCGUGCUUAACACAUGCAAGUCGAACGGAAAGGCCCUGCUUGCCGGGUACUCGAGUGGCGAACGGGUGAGUAACACGUGGGUGAUCUGCCCUGCACUUCGGGAUAAGCCUGGGAAACUGGGUCUAAUACCGGAUAGGAGCCAUUUUUAGUGUGAUGGUUGGAAAGUUUUUUCGGUGUAGGAUGAGCUCGCGGCCUAUCAGCUUGUUGGUGGGGUAAUGGCCUACCAAGGCGGCGACGGGUAGCCGGCCUGAGAGGGUGGACGGCCACAUUGGGACUGAGAUACGGCCCAGACUCCUACGGGAGGCAGCAGUGGGGAAUAUUGCACAAUGGGCGCAAGCCUGAUGCAGCGACGCCGCGGGGGGGAUGACGGCCUUCGGGUUGUAAACUCCUUUCGCUAGGGACGAAGCUUUUUGUGACGGUACCUAGAGAAGAAGCACCGGCUAACUACGUG